rnacentral:rRNA from 1 species
CGCGUAGGUGGGAUGGUCAGUCAGUGGUGCAAGCCUAGGGCUCAACUUUAGGAUUGCCAUUGAUACUGCCAUUCUUGAGUUCGGAAGAGGAAAGUGGAAUUCCUGGUGUAGCGGUGAAAUGCGUAGAUAUCAGGAAGAACACCGGUGGCGAAGGCGGCUUUCUGGUCCGAUACUGACACUGAGGCGCGAAAGCGUGGGGAGCGAACAGGAUUAGAUACCCUGGUAGUCC